rnacentral:lncRNA from 1 species
CCUCUUGGUUAGGGAAAGUAACGUCUACGCUCAUGGAAAAAUAGAAAAAAAAAAGAGAAAGAAAAGCGAUAAAAAAUGGAAAAAGAAAAAAAAUUGAUUAUAAAUUCUCUUGGUUUUGAUAUAAGACGGUUGGGAAUUGGUCCAGUGAUCGUUCCUUUAGUUCUAUAAGUUUGAGGCGGGAGUAGGUGGACUGUAGAUUCUAGCGUGAGACCCUAGGUAGACUGACCGCACUUAAAUUAAAUUCACAUGAUAAGGGCUUAAGAUCGGAUUUGAGUUUAAAUGGACAAGUAUAUUCGCAAUCGCGGCUAACGCAAGCUUUGGUUUUAAUAAAAUAUAAAUAUACUUUUGACCCGAGUGAUUAUUCAUCUCUGAUUUCGUUGCAUAAUUCUUUUUCGAGGACGAAAAAAGAGUAAGUGUGGGGAUAUUUGAUGUAUUGCAAAAUACAUCCUUUAUUCGUGUAUAGUUUGUCUUGGUACUUAAUAUUGCUGAAAAUGGAGUGAAAACGAGCCAAAAUGCUGAAACACCAAGUCCCGGAACGAGUUGAAAACUAUGUUGUCAAAAGCGCAAAAAGCGCGCGCCUAGGCGCCCGGGCGCAACGAGGCGCACCAAUAGCGCCUUGUGGCAGCCUAGGCGCAAAAAUGAGUUUUUUUUGAAAAAAAUAGCCUGAGGCGCAAAAAAGGCACACAAAAAUGGCCUGAGACGCAGCAGGAAAAAAAACGAAACUGAACUGAGUACGAAUAAAAACUGCCUCACGCGGGCCCGGGCUUUUCGGAGCUGCAUUCGUGUCCGCAUGAGUUCAACCAAAUUCCAGCUCAGAAACUCAUUUUUGCACACCCCCCUGCGCGCGGGUAGGACUUGUGGUAAAACAUGUCAUAAAGCUACAAUAGAGUAGUAAAGACUUUACCUUAUAAACAACCACUCACUUUGUCCCCACACCAAUAUGGGACAAAGUGGGGACAAAGUAUUUACCACCUUUUGAGACUUUUAUUCACACACUCAAAACUUACAACAUAUAAGUCCUAAACUUUUGCUACUAACUAUUAGCUCCAUGAUCUUAAAUGGCAUGUAUAAUAGUUUUUUUUUAAUUAUAUAUGUGGAAUCUUAUUUAUUUUCAAAGCAUAACAUAUUUUUUAUAUUUUUUCCCUAUGUACGCUCUUCUUAAAAAAGCCCAUGCUUUUUUUGCGCCUUGCGCCUAGGCUCCGGGCGAGGCUGAUGCGCCUCGCCUGCACCUUGCGUCUUUGACAACAUAGGUUGAAAAGAGUUAGAAUUAUUUUUGGAGAAUUUUGAGAGCUGAAGCUGGAGAAAAAAUGAAGGAGUCUGGUCAUUUUGAGCUGUGGCGUCGCGCCACAGCUACAUCACGUUACCGUCGCGCCCCGCCAAGAUAAAAUAAUGAAAUUCUGGGAGUUUAUGCUGUCGCGCUGCGCGACAUUGAAUGAUAAUACCCGUCGCGCGACGCGACGGAUUGUUCUGACGGAAAUCCUUCGUUAACAGCUAGGGUUAACUAUAAAACCAAGAAAAACAUAAUAAAACCCUAAUUACGAUUGGAGACAUCCUUGGGCGAAUUUUGGAGCAUUCAUUGAGCAAUUUCGGAGAUCUUGAAGCUUUGGAAUCAUUGGUACGAGUUCGGGACGAAGGAUUGAAGACUAGACGGGUUUUCUAGUUCUUUGUUUUUGAUUUUUCUUAUGAAACUUGUUACAAUGAAUUCUUGUUUGAUUAUCUUUGUUUUGUCUUCAUUAUUUAACAUGCUCGGCUAAACUCUUUAAGCCACCUAGACUUUGAUGAAUGGAUUGAAUAAAGUUUUUACCUUUUUCGUUU